rnacentral:rRNA from 1 species
GACAGAGGGUGCGAACGUUGCUCGGAAUCAUUGGGCGUAAAGCGCGUGUAGGCGGCAUCGCACGUCGGGUGUGAAAGCCCGGGGCUCAACCCCGGCAGUGCACCCGAAACGACGAUGCUAGAGUGCUGGAGAGGCGGGUGGAAUUCCUGGUGUAGAGGUGAAAUUCGUAGAUAUCAGGAGGAACACCGGUGGCGAAGGCGACCCGCUGGCCAGCGACUGACGCUGAGACGCGAAAGCGUGGGGAGCGAUCCGG